rnacentral:rRNA from 1 species
CAGGCCUAACACAUGCAAGUCGAGCGCCGUAGCAAUACGGAGCGGCAGACGGGAGAGUAACACGUGGGAACGUGCCCUUCAGUUCGGAACAACCCAGGGAAACUUGGGCUAAUACCGGAUACGUCCGAAAGGAGAAAGAUUUAUCGCUGAAGGAUCGGCCCGCGUCUGAUUAGCUAGUUGGUGGGGUAAUGGCCCACCAAGGCGACGAUCAGUAGCUGGUCUGAGAGGAUGAUCAGCCUCACUGGGACUGAGACACGGCCCAGACUCCUACGGGAGGCAGCAGUGGGGAAUAUUGGACAAUGGGCGCAAGCCUGAUCCAGCCAUGCCGCGUGGGUGAUGAAGGCCCUAGGGUUGUAAAGCCCUUUCGGCGGGGAAGAUAAUGACGGUACCCGCAGAAGAAGCCCCGGCUAACUUCGUGCCAGCAGCCGCGGUAAUACA